rnacentral:rRNA from 1 species
AUUGAACGCUGGCGGCAGGCCUAACACAUGCAAGUCGAACGAGUGGCGGAAGGGUGAGUAAUGUCUGGGAAACUGCCUGAUGGAGGGGGAUAACUACUGGAAACGGUAGCUAAUACCGCAUACCAUCGGAUGUGCCCAGAGGGGAUUAGCUGGUGGGUGGGGUAACGGCUCACCUAGGCGACGCGCCCUAGCUGGUCUGAGAGGAGGCCUGGCCGCACUGGAACUGCGACGCGGCCCAGGCUCCUACGGGAGGCAACAGGGGGGAAUAUGGCACAAUGGACGCAAGCCUGAUGCAGCCGUGCCCGGUAUAUGAAGAGGGCCUUCGGGUUGUAAAGUACUUUCGGCGGGGAGGCGUUACCCGCAGAAGAAGCACCGGCUAACUCCGUGCCAGCAGCCGCGGUAAUUC